AUUGAACGCUGGCGGCAUGCCUUACACAUGCAAGUCGAACGGCAGCGGACCUUCGGGUGCCGGCGAGUGGCGAACGGGUGAGUAAUGCAUCGGAACGUGCCAUUGAGUGGGGGGAUAACGUAGCGAAAGUUACGCUAAUACCGCAUAUUCUGUGAGCAGGAAAGCAGGGGGACCGCAAGGCCUUGCGCUCUUUGAGCGGCCGAUGUCAGAUUAGCUAGUUGGUGAGGUAAAGGCUUACCAAGGCGACGAUCUGUAGCGGGUCUGAGAGGAUGAUCCGCCACACUGGAACUGAGACACGGUCCAGACUCCUACGGGAGGCAGCAGUGGGGAAUUUUGGACAAUGGGCGCAAGCCUGAUCCAGCCAUGCCGCGUGAGUGAAGAAGGCCUCGGUUG
rnacentral:rRNA from 1 species